UACGUAGGGUGCAAGCGUUGUCCGGAAUUAUUGGGCGUAAAGAGCUCGUAGGCGGUCUGUCGCGUCGGCUGUGAAAACCCGGGGCUCAACCCCGGGCCUGCAGUCGAUACGGGCAGACUAGAGUGCGGUAGGGGAGACUGGAAUUCCUGGUGUAGCGGUGAAAUGCGUAGAGAUCAUGAGGAAGACCAGUGGCGAAGGCGGGUCUCUGGACAGUUCCUGACACUGAGACACGAAGGCCAGGGGAGCAAACGGG
rnacentral:rRNA from 1 species